UCCGCGAUAGCUCAAUGGUAGAGCAACCGGCUGUUAACCGGUAGGUUACUGGUUCGAGUCCAGUUCGCGGAGCAA
rnacentral:tRNA from 1 species